rnacentral:lncRNA from 1 species
UUUCUAUAUAAAUUCAACCCCAAGCACCUCCGCAGCUAUCAAUCUCUGCCUUCCUCCUCUAUGAAUCUUCUUACCUUCAAUUUUUUUUGUAUUUUUUCGUAUUUUUUAUUUGAUUUUCUUGAUUAAGAAUCUGCAGAAAGGCAUCUACUACGAACUUCUCUGCCGUUGUUAAUGGCAGGGAGACUAAGAAAAGAUGCGAAAUCAAUGUCCAAAAGGAUACUUGGUACUUCUGGACAGGCAGGCUCUCAUAUCACUACGAUGAGUUCUGACUUUUUCUCGUAAGUCCCACAAUUUUUCUCACCUCCCAAACACCCCAAAAGUCCCAAAUUUUCUGUUUUUCUUGUUGCUCGAUGAUGAUUUUAUCUGCUUUAACCACACCGAAGCGAGGCUAGAACCGUUGGAUCUUCCCUCCCCUGAAUUAACCGCGCAGAUCAACGGCGGUGCUUCUUGUGCUUGGUGUUUCUUGAUGACUCCGUUUUCUAAUAACAGAGGUUGAUUUUUGGAUCUGACCUCUGGUUUUAGGGAAGAGAAGAAGGAUUUGGCAAGCAUUUGAAGCCCAUUGUUUGAUUUUUUGGGUUGAUUCUUGUUAGGGUUUGUUUUUCAACUGUUUGAUGUUUCUCAUGUGGACAAACUUUGGCCCUUGACUGAGAGCAACUAAUCACCAUUUUUCUGCUAAUUUAUUUUUUAGGGUUCUUGUAAUCUUUUUGGGUUUCUUACCCUCUUUUAUUCUUAAUAUUUUGGUUAAGGUUUAGUAGUCGAAUUUUUUAGGGUUUUUAACUCUUAGAUGAUUGUUUAAUGCAAGUAAAAAUAAUUUUUAACUAAUUGUAUUAUAACAUUUGAUACGCCACACUUUGUAUUACACUGAAAAACUUUUAAAAUUAUUUAAUAACUAAUUGUAUUGUGAUACUUUAACGUAUGUUUGACAUUUAUUUUGGGGAAUGAUGAUUAAACUGUGACAUAGGCUUCUGCUCUGCUGAAUUAUGUUUGCACGUCAGUCUGAUCCCAAAUUCCCACUUCAGAAAAAAAAGUUAUUUUCAUUUUCCUGUCAUUUGUUAAUUAUCUGAAUCCGAGAGUCCCGUUUUCUUGGUCACUUUUGAAUUUGAUGUUAAAGGAUUAAAAGAAUGAGUUCUUCGGAUAUCAAAUUUAAGGGUGAAUGACCAUCCGAUUCAUGAACAAUCGGUUGGCGGGAAAAGAUAAAUAUAUAUUCGUUUCUUCAUAGUACAUUACACUCGGGUAAUUUGAUCUUAAGCAAAGACUAAAACGCCGAUUACAAUCCAAAUGGAACAAAUUAAGAUUGAAGUGCAAAUUCUUUGUAGGAAGGUGCGAUGAAAAAUAAAUCUGCUUGUUGUCUGCAGACAAAACGCGGCUGACAUAACUCUGCAGAACUACAUACGGUAAUAGUAAUGGUAAUGUAUCCUUGAGUAAUCAUCGGAGAGAUGCCUACUAGGGUGAAGGAGGCGCGAAUAGUUUCGGGUAGAGUUUAUCUGCGAGAACCGCGUUCGCUGCGUCGGUAGGGUGGAAUGCGUCCCAGAACACGUAGUCUCUCCGGUUGCUGCAUACCUGUGAGUUAGGCAAGCAUAGCCCUCCAAUGUUUGUGGCCACAUUGCAACACGGAAGGUUCGAAACCUUAAACCCUGAAAAAUUGGUACGUACGUUGUAAGUUAAACGUCUGCGAAUCAACUUCGAAUCUACAGUUUGAGUUAUCGAGUUUGAUUACCGGAAGCUGUAGGGUUUUGGAUUAAGUCGAGGACGUCUCCGUAUGUGUCUGCAAAUGAGAGUUUUGCCCCUGGGAGUUGGCUGUUAAGAGAGGCAAGGAGCUUUUGUACUUUGGAGUUGAAUCCUAGCAUCAUCUGGUUCACUUGGUUUAAGCACUGCCCUGUGUUUGAUCUGACUCUUUGAGAAGGAAUGCAGCCAAGUGGUCCGAGACCAUGGAACGUCAUAUUUCGGGCACCCAGCUGGUAGAGCCUCUGACAAACAAUUUGAACAUGCAUUGUUAAUUAACUAGGGUUUAGGGCUGUAAAUCGGCUCGAAAGAGCUCGAGCUUGCACCAGUUUUGGAUCGUUGAAGCUUGUGAAAGAAACAAUCGAAGCCUAUGUUCUUUGGCUCAAUGAGAAACAAGCCAAGUUUGAGUAUAAACCCUGGAUUUUUUCGAAUGAGACAACUCGAACUAGUUUACAAAAAGUUUGCUUGGAAUGAAAGAUCAAAGACCAAGAUUGUGAGUGAAUUAAAAUACGUUCGCUAAAGUAACCAAUUUAAAAUAUGAAUAUAAAACUUGAUAUUUAAGCAAAGCGCGGUAUUUCUUUUCUCAAAAUAUUGUAAAAGAUGUGAGAUGUGUCGUUUACUCGUUAGUGUUUACUAACCUUAAAUUGUCUCUCUAAGGUACCGACCAAUAAUUCCGCAAAUUGUUCGGGAGUGUACUGCCGACCAGUAGGUAAAAAGGGUUGCAGGUAAUUGUUGAUAUAAUCAUUGCUCCCUGAAAAAAAAAAGCAAAGGAAAAAAAUAUAUAGUAAAAGAUCUUAGAUAUAUACGAGCAAUUGUCUAAACUACUCUAAUUACGGGAAACGGGACUUUAGACUCGGGUGCAAGGAAAUUAGUCACUGACUUAUCCCACGUCUACAUAAAAAAUGCGUUCUUUUCAUCUAGAACAAGAUUUCAUUUGUCUAAUAAAAGAGUACCAAGUCCAAUGAAGUAGACGGCAUCCUUGCAAAGCUUGGCUGCAGCCUGUGCCCCAAUCUUAGCCUUGAUGACAUCCGUUGUCUUUUUGAAAUCUUGUAUUUGAUCAUCAAGACUCAGCCUCUGAAUCUGUCAUGAAGAAAAAUAUAAAAAAAAGGAUGUAAGAUUAUAGAGCAUUUACUCCUGCACCUGAAGUUGUGGGUUCAUCGACGCGAUCAAAAUAUUUUAGGAAGAAAUGUGAUUACAAAAUAGAGUCCAGUGCUAUUGAGUAUUCCUGCUCCACCAGAUGCAUAAUUAACCCCUUUAAGCAGUUGAUCAUCGUUCGGUGACAAGGAUAGAUAAGGUGGUGGCGAUGGAAUGAUCCCCAUCUUUUGGGCUACAAAAAUCACAAACAAAAUUCAACAAGUUCAUCAAGAUACAAAGGAAAAGAAAAAAAAUCGACAUCGGGUAAGUAUAACUGUAUAAGAAUCAAGAACAGUACAUAUUACGUCACCGAUGGUUCUUCCAUUACUGAACCUCCCAGUAGGUCGACCACCAACAUAAUCGAUACCAUACCAAGGAUAAUUUGACUUUGCAAGAGAAUACUGCAGAUAGUUGUUGUUUCCUACAUCUGUCAAGGAGUCACCGAAGGUGAAGGUCACGGUAGUCGCUGCCAAUGAAGGCACGGCUACCAUGGUUGCGAAAAUGGUGGUAGCUAGAGCCAUCCACAUUGUCACUUCCAUCUUUGAAUGUUUCUCACUUGGGGAGUAAGUGGCAGCUAGUGAGACAAGAAUUUAUAGUAAAUUGAUCGUGAAAAUUCUGAUGAGGUCUAAAGCAGCACAGUUUGGGGAGUUGGCCAACUCAGCUGCCUAAGUCAGCAGAGUUUGAUUUGUUACUUGUUAGGUGGUGGUUGCUUCAGAGUGUAAAGAUUACUAAAUUUCGAAAUUAACAGAAAGCAUGCACAAUGAUGUCAAAGUUCACUUGUUCUGCUCUGAGUUUUCUUAUUUGGCUGCCUACUUUGGGUUAGUUAGAUGCCAACUACGCUUAACAACUACUUAGUACUGUCAACAACCGAAUCAAUGGAAUCACCUCUUCUGAAACCACUAUCACUUUAUACGUAAGUAUAUUCGGACAAGAGUCGGGUAUGUCAACUGGAGGAGGAAUUGCUGAAUGUCGAAGAGCGGUCUAGUAAUAGGUUUUAGAUUCAAUUCUCGUAAAUGGUGAGUUCGAUACUAAAUUAGAACAAUACUUGGCUACUCAAAUGAUGAUUAGGAAUUCCUACUCAAAAUUGUUCUUUGUCGAUGUGUUUUGAUCAAAACCGUUCAUACUAUAAAUUACUUUAUAAAGAUUGCCUCUAUGAAAAAUCAAUUAAAACUAAGGUCGUUUAGUCAUCGAACUAUAUAAAAAUAGAUGAAUGAAUUGAUAAAAGCAUUAUGAGCCGUCUAUGUAUUUACUACAAUAGAUCGACUAAACGACGUUAGUUUUAAUUCAUUUUUGCAGAGAUGACUCAUAAUAUGAACGGUUUUUAUCAUAAGCACAAAGCUUUGUGAUUCGAACACAAAGAGUUUUGAGUAGAAGUUUCUACUCAUCCUUGAGGAGUCAAGCAUUGUUCACCAAAUUAUUCCCCCACUCUUUUAGUGUAAAUAUAUUGUUAUUUAAAAAAUAAUGUCGUAAUUGGUCAUUAACUCCCUGCACACAAACUAGAGAGUUGUUCAAGAACAUCCCUAACGUGUCGUCACUUAUUAAUUUUGCAUUUUCAAAUUGUAACGGAGAAAUAUAAUGGAAACAAUUAAAGGAGAAGCUGAUCCACGGUCCACCUAUAUAGUAAAAAAUUACAUAAAUUAUUACAUAAAAUGGUAAAUAUUUACUAGUGGUGAAUUGCCAUGGUAGUUAGGGGUUUCGUCUUUAACCAACAGUAUCCAGUCAAAACUGACAUUGCAACAUGUAAUGAAUUGUAACAAACAAUGCUCAUCAAAGAUAAGUUGUCUGAUAUUAUAUCAAGGGAACCUGCAAGUUCUUGCACAGCAAAACAAGGUUCAGAUCGCAUAUAUAUAAUGUCUAGCGGGCUACUUUCUGCUCUCCUUGUUCUUGCCCCUCUGGUUCUUGUUCUUUGUCUUCCCCUUGUUUCUGUUACAUUGGGAAGCAGACGCAGCAUCAGCCAACAGAUUUGACUCAUUGCAUAUGCGAUUCUCCUAGGCUAUGAUGUGACUGUCCCCGGUCUCACUCGGUACAGAAACAACAUCAGUUUGCGGAGACUCUGGAUGCUUGCUGGAUUCGCAAUUUUCCUCACCUAUAGUGUAACUUUCCCCGGCGUCACAUGGUUUAUCUAAUGCAGAGCACCAGUCUUCCCCUCCCCAGAAUUGGUUGCACAAUACACACGACUGCAAGAUCCAGCUCGCGAAGCUUUUUGGACGGGUGGUUUACGAAACAAUUUUCUAAAUAUGUCAUCCCUCGACUGGUUGGCCUUCCAUGUCAACAAAGAUAGCAUCUGAACAUAACCUUGAACAAUUGGUCCCAAAACUUGCUAUUACCAAGUUUUAGCUACCAUCUUAAGAGCUGCCGCGAGCACAUUGACAUCUAAGCUAACAGAUUUGCGGCUCCUCUUGUUUUUGAGGGUAUCAUAAAACUCCGACGGCAGCUGUUCAGUGAUAUAGUUCCUCCCCAUCAAAUCAUUGAGUAAAUCUAGAUCAAUACCAAAAUUCACAUAAACCAAGCAUAACACAACGACCAAUCCAACAGGAGUAGUGAAUAGUAGUUCUUCUAAUCUUAGAUGGACAUUUUCAUCCAUUCAACUAUAUCCACCUUAUUGAAAAUGCACUCCCGAACCACAUCAAGCUCAUUAUUCAAAAUGAUAGAUACAAUAAACCUUUAUUGGCGAUUAUACCGGUCAUUGCUGAAGUGACAUCACGUAAAAUCAUUGCAGAGGAGCGAGAUCACAUCAAGUCAUUGUUGUACGGCAAGACCACAUAAUAUAGCCAUCGCAAAGUGGAAACCACAACACUUGCAAACCUAGGCAACAAGACAACUACACUACUUUGAGAAUGGAACCACUAAUCGGCUAAUCUAAAGAGGGAGCUCAGAGAAGCAAUGACAAAAAUUCAGAAAUUUGAGUUCAAACUUAAAUUAAUAUUCACUAUCAUUUAAAAAAAUUUAUUAUUAACGUUUCGUAUAAAAUCUCUAAUUUCUUUUUUGUUCGUUUAAACUUUAAUAAUUUUUGACAUAAAAAAAGGAAUAAUUAUUUUUAAUUGACUAUAUUCUUUAUUUAAUUGUGAUAGGAAAAUAAAAUUAUAAAAUUUGAAUAAUGAGCUUGCGCACCAAAUUUGGGUAUUAAAAACCUUAAAAACUUACAAUAUUGAGUAAACAAGUAAAUAAAUUUGUUGUCGCAAAAACGUUUAUUUGUGCAUCUGAGUUUUAUCUUAAAAUUUCAAAUUUCUCUCAUCUCAGUAACACCUUUAUCAAAGAAGAAUACAUGAAGAUUCUUUAACAUACAGCUAGCUAUACUUUUUUAUUUCCUUUUUCUUUUAAAGUAUGACUCAUAAGUCCUGGAAGGAAGGUUCUCAAAUGUACAGCUAGCUAUACUUUUUUUUUUGCUUUUUCUUUUAAAGUAUGACUCAUGACAAUAUAUUUCUGUUUGCCCUUCCAUUUCCAUACUUUUACCAUCUAUUUUUGUUUGUAUAGUCACAGUUAAGUCACGUCAAUAUUUUAUAUUUUUAUUACUUUUUAUUUUAUUAUUUUAUAAAAAAUUAAUAUAAAAUAUUAACGUGGUUUAACUGUAAUCACACAUCGCAGGAGGGCAUGUGAAAAGUAUGGAAAUAAGAAUGCAGACAAUCUACUUCCAAACUCAUAAGCAUGACGAUUAAAUAAAGAAUAUUAAUAAAUAUUUUGUCAGUAACACUUUUCAAAGGAUGACAACUUAAUAACACUUUUUUUAUUUGUUGCAUUUUUCUUUCAAAGCAUGACAACUCAAUAACACUUUUUUCAAAUUUCUAACAACUCAAAAGGUUAGAAAUUUUGACGAUACGAAUUUUACUUCUCUUGCAACAAAUCACGAAAGAUAAAUAUUAAUAAAUAUUCUUGAAAUAUGAAAAUUUCCAACAAAAUUCAACGAAAUUGGACCAGAGCCACAAACUAGGGUGGUUUCUAGCUCUUUGGUCGUCACCAACAGUGGAUUGGACGGUAUUGGUAGAUUUGAGAGAAACAACUCAAAAGCAAGGAAGAAAAUAUCGGUAAUAUCGGAAAUAUCGGUAGUCCGAAAACACGGAAAUAUCGAUAGAAAUAUCGGUAAAAUAUCGAUAUCGAUAAAAAUUACAUGGAAACUACGGAAAUUGGAAGAAAAACUUGGAAAUUUUUAUUGAAACUUUGUAGGAUGUUUAUUUAGUCAAUUAUCUAUUAGUUUAUCACAAAAAAUUGGAAAGAAAUGCAUUGCAUGAUGGAUUUAACAUUAUCAAGUUGAUUAUAUAGCGAGCCAACAAACAUUGUAAGUGUAGAAAAUAUGUAGUAAUUAAUGAAAGAAGUCUAAACACACCAUAAUCAUUUAUAUAUAAUGAAUUAGUACAAUAUUUUACACUUUAUACAUUGCAUGGUAAGAUACAUAAGUGACUUAGUACCACAUAGAGUUCCUAUGAGGUUCAAAAUUUUCACUAUCUUCAUCAUCUCUAUGUGUAGAGUGAGUGUAUUGUGAAGAGUAGUAUUCCAAUUUAAUGAAUAAUCCAAUUUAAUGAAUAAUAAUCCAAUUUCAUAAAAAAUAAUCCUAAUAUAAAACAUGGUGAUGAAUAAUAAUCCAAUUUGAUAAUAAUCCAAUUUAAUGAAUAAUCCAAUUUGAUAAUAAUCCAAUUUAAUGAAUAAUAAUCCAAUUUGAUAAUAAAAAAAACCUAAUAUUAAUGAAUAAUAAUCCAAUUUGAUAAUAAAACAUAAUAUUAAUGAAUAAUAAUCCAAUUUGAUAAAAAAAAAAAUCCUAAUAUAAAACAUGGUGAUGCAAAAUCUAAACAAGGCGAUAACAAGCCAAUUGGCAAAAAUGAUUAAAAAAAUCUAAAUUGUCUAACUGACCGACACUCUUAUAGACUCAUUAUAUCACUUUUAUAGACUCAUCUUACCCUUAUAAAUUCAUUAUUUUUCUUGAAAUUGAUUAGAAUCAUUAGAAAAACAAUUUUUUGCAUUUCCAUAUGCCUAACCAAUAAAUACAACUUCUACUAUUUCCCUGAAAUUAUAUAUUUUCACUUUUUCCCUGAAAUUGAGUCAUUUAUCCUAAUCUAAUCUAGACCCCCAGAUUAAUUUAUAUUUUCACUCUUUUUCUGAAAUUAUAUAAAUUUGCAAUUGAGUCCUUUUCCUAAUCUAAUCUGGACCUUCCAUCUUGAUUCUCACUCUCUGUCACGCUGCCACGUGGCAGCCCACUAACCCUCACCCUAUCUCUCUCUCUUUUCCUGAGUCCCUCUCGGACCCUUCACUCUCUCAGAGUUCUCAACUCUAUCUCUCUCUCGAACUCUCGUUCUCUCACUCCAUUUCCCCGAUCGCACCCACACCCAGGCACACCCAAAUCCGUCCACCACGAUGCCAGCGCAGCAUCUCCACCAUCCUCAUGAACUCUCCCUCCCUCUCCUCCGUCUCUGGGAAGCACGGCGACGCACAGAGGAAGCUCGGCUUCCCCGAUCGCACCCACACCCAGGCACACCCAAGUUUUCAGGUGAGAUCCGACUAAACCCUAUGUUGAUUACCUCUUGCAUGCGUGAAAUUUGAACCUUAUAUGUGAAAUUGAAGUUCAAAAUCGUGUUUUUGCAAGGUUUUUGGGACGAAAUCGGCUCGGAAAUAGGCACACAAUCUCCGGCGUUCUUCUCCGAUUGCACCGUUAAAAAAAUAUCGCGAUAUUUCCAAAAUAUCGCAAUAUUAUCGAUAAUAUCGCGAUAUUUUGACGAAAACCCCUUGGAUACCACUUAAAAUAUCGGUUUGGGGAAAAACCGAUAAUAUCGGCGAUAUAUCAUCGAUAUUAUCGAUAUUUUCUUCCAUGCUCAAAAGAGAUGGAAAGAUAAAGAUAAAAUAAUAAAGAAGAAGACGAAAGAAAAGAGGAAUAAAGAAGUCCACAUCAAUACCUCCAUUUUUGUGAAAGAAAUAAAAAAAAUUAAAUCAAUUCCUGGCCUCAUGAUUUGAAUCAGACGGCCAAUAUGACUGAGUCCGCAGAAUCCAAAGUCACACAUGUGCUCUUUGUAUUCCCCAUUUUGGUGGUCGGAAAUGCCAAAUGAUGGUUUUAGUUUGCGUGUAAAACCCUUUAAAAAACGAAAAUUAAUGAAAAGAGUUUAAAAACUUUAAGUUUUAAUAAAAAUGAUAAAAUAAAAAGUAAAGUAAAUAGUAAUAAAAUGGAGAAAUUAGGUUCACAUCCUUUUUUUUGCUACUCCAUUGAUUAAAAUCUUAUUCAUUUUCAAUUUUUGAUCAAGGUCCUUGGUAUUAAUAACAUCAUUAAUUAUUUGAUUAAUAAAAUAUUUUUAUUUUUAAAUAUAUUCCUUUAGUGUUAAAAAUGUUACAAUUAGUAUAUUUAUAUUUAUGGCUAAAUUUUUUAUCAUAUAUUUUUAUUUUUAGUAGGUACCUAUUUUUAAUUUGUACCAAUUUUUUUUCAUUUUUAAUUUGUUCCCAUAUAUUAGUUUCUUUUUGUGCCCAUAUUUUUUAAAGUUUUAUUUGUGUUUGUACCCAUGUGUUGUAUAUUUAAUCAAUGAUAGAAAAAUUACAUAUGGUAUAUUUAUGUUUUAUGCCUAAACUUUGUAUCAUAUAUUUAUAUUUUUAGUUUGUACCCACUUUUAAUUUGGAACAUUUUUUUAAAUUUGUAGUAUUUUUUUUUAGUUUUAUUUUGUACCCAUGUAUUAAUUUCUUUUAGCGUCUAUAUUUUUUAAAAAUUCAUUUGUACUCAUAAUUUUUUAAUCUUUUAUUUGUACCCUAAUUUAUUUAUAAUGUACUCAUUCUUCUUUAUUAAUGUACCGCUUUGUUAUAUGUGAAAUGUACCCAUUUUUUUAACACUAUGGAUACAUUCUCUUGCCAUUUAUUAUUUCUUAUUUUUACAUAGUUUUUAUCCAUUUAUUCAAUCAAAAUGUUUGAAUUUUUUUAUUGUAACCGUUUUCAAUAGUAUUAUAAUGAGGGAUUUUAAAUUUAUAGGAUUAUAAAUCUUAUAAAAUCUCAAACAAUUAAUGUCAAAAAUAUAAAAAUAUAAAUAUUAAUUGUAAUAUAAUGAGGUGUACAAAGUCAAGGGACUUUGAUCAAACUUUGAAUACCAUUAAGGUUUUAGUCAAAGAAUGUUAAGGAUUAGGGAUCGCAUCCAAAGUAUCCCUAAUAAAAUUAACUUUUUAAUGUAAAAAUAUAAUUUUUAAUUGAAAUAAACAGAACCAUAACUUUUCGUUAAAGUUACCUUAAAAAAAAAUAUUAAAAAAAAAAAAAGCAAACGACAACCAUGUUACAGAAUAGCCUGGAGCUUAAGACAAGCACCCAUUGUUCAGUUCCCUUCUGUCUCUCCCGCCAGAAGCUCCGCCGUAAAAAAUCAUGAGCUUCUCACAAAUUUAACAGAAGCAAAACAAAAACCCAUUCAUCAAAAUCUUCCAUCCUUAAUCCCACCAAAAAACCAAACAGCAAUGUCGGUGGCGUGUGGCAUGGAGUGCGUGGUUGUGUUGGGCUGUAUGCGUUGGGUGUGGCGGCGCUGCACCUACAUCGGCGCCAACGACAGCUCAACCUGGACAUCCGCCUCUCCCGACGAGUUCGACCCAGUUCCCCGUGUCUGCCGCUUAGUCCUCGCCGUCUACGAGGCCGAUCUCCACAACCCCCACUUCAUCCCCACCUGCGGAUUCCGCCCCAACCCCGACUGGGUAGUCAAGCGCGUCACCUACGAGCAAACCGACGGCCAGGCGCCUCCUUACCUCAUCUACGUCGACCACGACCACAAGGAGCUCGUCCUCGCCAUUCGCGGCCUCAAUUUGGUCAAAGAGAGUGACUACAAGCUCUUGCUCGAUAACAAGCUCGGAAUGCAGAUGUUCGACGGUGGAUAUGUCCACCACGGCCUCUUGAAGUCGGCGAUUUGGCUGCUUAACGAAGAGGGCGAGACAUUGAAGCGGCUCUGGCUCGAAAACGGGUCCAAUUACGAUAUGGUGUUUGCGGGUCACUCUUUGGGGUCUGGUGUGGCGGCGCUGCUGACUGUCAUUGUGGUCAACCAUCGGGACCGGCUAGGCGGAGUCCCCCGAAGCAAGGUGAGGUGCUAUGCGCUUGCUCCGGCGCGUUGUAUGUCGUUGAAUUUGGCCGUCAAGUAUGCCGACGUUAUUUACUCGGUUGUUUUGCAGGUAGGUUUGUCUGAGUUUAAGGUUGUCAUUUGUGUUUGUAAAUGUGUUUGUUUUGUUUCGAAUUGUUUUCGUGACUUGUGGAAUUGGUGAUUGUGUUUGUAGGAUGAUUUCUUGCCAAGAACUGCAACCCCUUUGGAAGAUAUUUUCAAGUCCAUCUUUUGGUUGGUACUCGUUGAAACCAUUAAAUUUUAUUAUAUCACGAAAAAUAAAACAAAUUUAAUUGGAAUUGUAGAUUUUAAAGUGGAGUGAACUACUAACACUUUUGGCGGUUUUCGACAGCUUGCCCUGCUUCUUGUUUUGGUUUGUUUGAGGGAUACUUUCAUACCAGAAGGUAGGAAGCUUAGGGAUCCCAGAAGGCUUUACGCACCUGGUCGGAUGUAUCAUAUUGUUGAGCGCAAAUGUUGCAGGUACCCCAUGAUCCUUACAACAAUCUUGUCAUUUUAUUUUUGUGAAUCUUGAAAGUGUGGUUGAAUGUCCAUUGACAAAGAAACCUUGAUGCCAUUCGGUACUUAUGGAGUCAAGGGUAAUGAAUUCCUGAAUGAAUGCAAGCAUGCUACUUGCCUUACUUACAGCUGUUGCACAUUUACAUCAUAUCAUUAAUUUGCACAUCCGCAUGAAUCCGGUGCUUAGGAUUUUGGAUUUUUUGAGACCAAUGUGAAAUUUGUGUCCUUGGUAACUGUUGCUCCAUGGCCUAGAAAUUGUUUUGCUUUGUGAUUCACAGACUCUGGUAGCGGGAGGCAAUUGCUCUUUAGGUUCUACUUAGGAAAUGGAUUCUUCGUGGCUUUUCAUUUUAAUGUACUAUGUAUAUCUGGUGAGAACAUUAGUCGUUAGACUCUGUAGGAUCUACCCUCUAGGAGCUCCUUUCUCCCUCAGAGAGCUCAUAGAAGAAUCCCUACCUUAGGAGGUGGAAAGGGAGUAUGAUUGAAGUUGAAUUUUUCUGACUCCUCCCUAAAUUUUAGCUAUGGGGCUCAUUCAGGGAGCAUGUUGGAGAUGCUCUAACUCGUAACAUGAAAAAAUGUAUGCUACAUUUGGAUGAGGACUUUCAAAGCCCAAUGAACUUUAAAAUCUAUCCUUUGAACUAAGCCUACCAAUGAACUACUCAAACAUUACAAAGCUACUCUAAAACACUACAAAUGCAGCAAGGGACUUUCAAAAUGACCUUGAAAGGUUUCAUUGAAAUUUCUCUCAAAGGUAUAGCAUAACAAAGUCCAUCCACAUAAUUUUUUUUAUGUAUGCCUAGCUAAGUUAGCAUCUAGUUCUUUUGAAAGUUCAUCAACAUAUUUUUGUGGUGCUUCCUAACUAAUGUAGCCUAAGUUUGAUGGAACUUCAAAGUCCCUCAUGCAAGUGCACAUUAGUUGUAACUUUUGCCCUCAUUUUCUUUUGGAAAUAAGUUUGAAUCUUGAUUCUUGUCUAAUGAAUGUUUCACUAGAUUUUUACCAGGGUGUGGUACUAUUUGGAAUAGAUAAAAACUUAAUAAGUGGGGUUUACAAUGUCUAUAAUUGUACAUUGAAUGGUCAUGGUGCCUCAAAAAAAUUGGAUAUAAAAAUAUUACCAUUUUCAAAGUUCUCUGUUAAUUGGCCAUUAUCUCUAGGAGUAUCUCUUGGUAAAUACAUCUUUUUAUGUCAGGUUAUGGUCUUCUAAUUGUUAUGAACUGUUGGCUUAUCUAUAACAAUGCUUGCUUUUUUAAAGAAAUCCAUUAUUUGUACCUUACUUUUGCGUCAAGUAAAAUCUUCCCGAUACCAGUUUGCGAAGUUUCAAAAUUGGAACAAAUCUGUUUGUUUUGAUGGGAUUCUCUUUGCGGGUGUGUCUGUUGAACUAAUUAAUGAUUUACUUUCUGGAAGGCAUUAGUGUUAUGUUGGAACCCAAACUGUUGUGUUCAUGCGAUGAUUGAGUUCCUCGUUGCUUCGUAUAACAGAUGUGGGAGGUUUCCUCCAGAGGUCCGAACUGCCAUUCCUGUUGAUGGGAGAUUUGAACAUAUAGUCUUGUCAUGUAAUGCCACAUCUGAUCAUGGAAUUAUCUGGAUAGAAAGGGAAGCGGAGAAGGCUUUAUUAGUAAGUGGAACAUAACUUACAACCUUUUAUAACCCUUAUCGUUUCUUUUCCUUUUGAGACUGCCAUGAUUAUCAUUUCGUACAUUUUAUUUUUCCUGUACAACAACAACAACAACAACAACAACCAAGCCUUAUCCCAGUAAGUGGGGUCGGUUGUAUGAAUCCUAGAAUGCCACUGCACUCGAUGUUCCGCCAAGUCUACAUUUUACUUUUCUUAGUUAAACUAAAUUAAAUAUGCUUUUAGCUCAAGGCCGAUUCUUCAAUUUCCACUGGGAUGCAAAGAAUAUCAGCAUUCUGUUUAUCUCCUGCCCAAAUCCCCAAAGUAACAUGAUUGACUAGCUGUCUUGUAGAGUAGCUUGUGUCUUAAGGUUGUCUUUGGUUGUUGGAAAGGGAGCAAGAAGUAAACGGAAAAGGGUUAAGCUACUGUCUUUGGUCACUUUUUCUUAGUUUGAGCAGAGGUAACUGGUGGAACAAGAUCAGAAGGAAAGAAGGCCGGUCUUCACUCUGACAAUUCAAUUUCCAUUUGAUAUAUUGUCCCUUCAUUUACUAAGAAAACCAUCCGCUCAAAGCUUUCCCUUUCUCUCCCUAGGCUAUAAGUUGUUUCCUCCCCCUUUGCAUUUGUGGACAUUGUUCAAGUGCCAACAUGUGUCAAUUGGUUAGAUUGUCAGAAUGUGUUAUUCUUGGGUUUUUACGAUUGCUAAUUAUGGAUCUUUUUAGCGAGCAUAUAGGUGAAAUUGUGAACCAUAGUGUAAAGUGAAAUUUUGGGAGUUUAUCUGUUUGCUAUUGAAUUGCAAAUGCUUAUCUUUUAUAUGUUGAAUAAUUACUGAUCAGUGAUGUAAAUACUCUUCAGAGAAUGAAGGAAAGUUGUUCUGAGACCGUAACAACUGCCCCAAAAGUACAAAAACUAGAGAGGUUGCGGACCUUUGAAAAAGAACACAAAGAUGCAUUGGAAAGAGCUGUCAGUUUGAAUGUGCCUCAUGCUGUAACGCCCAAUGAGGAAGCCCCCGAAGACCAAAAACUGGAGGAGGCUCCAGAGAUUGGGAAUAAGAGUGAAGACCCUGCCGAUACAAAGUCGAAGUCCACUGGUGGAAGGGCAAGUUGGGAUGAUGUGGUUGAAAAGCUUUUCAAGAAAGAGUCUGGGCAUCUACUGCUAAAAAGAGAUUCAAAUCCCCCGGAAUAGCAAAAUUCUUUUGUUCGUGUAAAGUUUGCUCGAUACAAACCAAGGAGAUGAAGAUACAAGCCAACAGUAAUCUAAGGUUUAAAAAUAGGUGAUCCUCUCCUAUUGCACCGAGGUCCUUUAAGAUAAAGCCCUACACUUGAGAGCCAUUCGGCUUAAUACCACCUAGGGUAUUGGGUUUAGGUGGUUAAUUUGAGACACUAUCGGUGCAUUGCUGGAGUUAGGAGUGGACACUUGUGGACCCGUGACACUUGUUUCUUAGAUUGUGCUUUUCUCUGAGGUUUAGGUUCUUGUGAAUAGUUCAUGGGCACAUUUCCUGCCCGCUUUGGUAUUUGUACAUUUUAUAGGUAAAAGAGUUGUGCAAUAUUACACAUUACUACGGGUCCAUUACCCAUGGGAGAAAAUUUGUCAAUACAAAAAAUACUCAAAACUCCUUGAUAAACUUUAUCUGGUCUUUACAGUUCCAUCUAUGCAUCAAUUUUCUUUUAUUCAACAAUCAAAAGCCAAUGAAAUAUUCAAGGGAAAUGAUUUUUGCACUUCUCUUUUCUCCUCAGGUGUCCUUAUUAUCUAGUCUUAGGAUGGACCAAAGGAUAAUUGGGGGACAAAAACAAGGUGAGGAGUGUAAAACAAGAGUGAAAUUCAUAAACCAUAUUGUUUGGGUUAAUAUUUGAACAUUGGACCUAGAUGAAGGAAAGCCUAAGGAUGACAACUAAAAGGGGAUUUGCCCGAAGCCCAGCACCAAGCCCAAAGGCAAAGUGAAGCCUUCUCAGCCAAAAUGCAAGCCACAUGCUUACUAUGGAAGUGACAAGUGAUGGAGACUAACCUACUACCAGCCAAAGAACACUUUCUAGUGGCAUUCCAAGUAAAAAGUAGAUGACUCACUACCCUCCAAGUGCUUUCGGGCAAGAACAAAGUUACAACAGUCGGGCUAAUUUGCCUAUAAAAGAAGGAAGAUGCCUCAGAGACAAGGACACUCAACCAAUCAAACAAACAAACAUACAAACUCUGCUCUCAAGCUAGAUUUGCAUCCAAAAGCUGAAAUCAACCCAGAUUCAAUCAUUUUUAGCGACAAGCUAUCUCUUGUUCAGUUUAAAGCUCUGCUAUAUCCCGUAGUGGUAUAAUAUCUAUUAUCUUGUGUAAACUUGUUUACCAUCCAUCCAUUUUUAGCAUAUAAACCCCUAUUAAUUCAAAGAGAAGUGAUUGCAAGAGGUUCAACCUUGAUAGACAAGAUGAAAUCUUGCCCGAAAUUCUUUGUUUGUUUUCUAAAUUUGUAGAUCUACUACUUAAUGCAUUCUCCAGUAUGUAUUCAAGUGAUUUCCACCUGACUUCCUACUUUAAGAGUCUCAUUUGUAUCUAGAUCCGACUAGUUUAAUGGAUAUGUUAUCAUUAAAAGCAACUUGGGACCAAACAAAUGACUUAAGGGGAUCUGGACUCCCUUCAUUCAAACAUGCAAGACUAUGAACUAAAAGGCAUUGUUUACAAGGUAAGAAAAAGAACUUAAAGUAGACUUAACCUAUAUGCAACAAUCAUUUGAUAACAAGAAGUCCGAGUAACUUGGGAUGCAAGUAAUUGACUAAAAACACUCUUGUUCUACAUCUGCUAUACUGAGAUAGCAGUGGCACGCUUAGCACUUAGUUAGUUUUGAUUGCAAGCCUCAAGGCCUACACCUAAGGCCCCACAAAGGCACCUUUUAGAACUAAAUAUGCCCCAUUCUUGUAGCACAUCAACAAGCAAGAGUCUGACUACACAUCCAAAGUGCCAAUCCCUUGGAGAGCUGUGCUGAGGUCCGAGGAUCCUUUUCUAGAGAAAUCUUCACCCGAACACAUAUUAAAUCAAUGACAAAUUCAAGUAUUGAUGACAUUAGAUAAUACUUGCACCGAGGUUUUUUGUGAUAAAUACUUACAUAUUUGUUGUGCUGUGUAUAAGAUAAUAUACAAGCUUGGAGACAACAUCAAUGUAAUCAGUAGUGAGUCGUUCUUAACAAUACUCACAUAUAUACAUCAUCUUACCCCGAUGAGCUAAUAUUGCAUAAUCAUCAAUUUUAUUAACAAAAACACACAAAACUAGUGGCAUUGGAUGCAAGGAUGAGAUUAUGAGGGAUCAAAAUGGACUGGUUUGGUGGGUUGAUCAUUUUGACCGGACUUCUAUUAAGGUAAAAGAAGGAUCAGCAAAACAGGUGAUCUU